rnacentral:rRNA from 1 species
CCUACGGGUGGCAGCAGUGGGGAAUAUUGCACAAUGGGGGAAACCCUGAUGCAGCGACGCCGCGGGAGUGAAGAAGGAAUUCGGUAUGUAAAGCUCUAUCAGCAGGGAAGAAAAGGACGGUACCUGAGUAAGAAGCCCCGGCUAACUACGUGCCCGCAGCCGCGGUAAUACGUAGGGGGCAAGCGUUAUCCGGAUUUACUGGGUGUAAAGGGAGCGUAGACGGCAGUGCAAGUCUGGAGUGAAAGGCGGGGGCUCAACCCCCGGACUGCGCGUGAAACUGUACGGCUGGAGUGCAGGAGAGGUACGUGGCAUUCCUUGUGUAGCGGUGCCAUGCUUAGAUAUUAGGCG